UACGGAGGGUGCAAGCGUUAUCCGGAAUUACUGGGCGUAAAGCGCGCGUAGGCGGCUCUUUAAGUCUCACUGUGAAAGACCGGGGCUCAACCCCGUGCGAGCAGGGGAUACUGGAGGGCUAGAGACCGGUAGAGGCCAGCGGAAUUUCGGGUGUAGCGGUGGAAUGCGUAGAGAUCCGAAAGAACACCGGAGGCGAAGGCGGCUGGCUGGGCCGGGUCUGACGCUGAGGUGCGAAAGCGUGGGGAGCGAACAGG
rnacentral:rRNA from 1 species